GGGGAAUUUUGAUGUAUCACAAAAACCAGCAUCCAGUUGAUGUGACUCUUCUUCCAGGGUCCUGCCCACAAGAAAGAUUGUGACAUCUCACUGGACAAGCACCCACCCAGGUGAUAUAACCCUCUUCUCUGGAAUGGGCCCCACACAAAGGAAGGAUAGUGACAUAUUGCAAGCCCAGGCACACAGGCCCAGAGCACAGUUGAAAUUGUGACAUAUGUACACCAAGCAACCAAGCAAUGUAUAACACCUCAUUUGGCAAUGGAAUCGAGGGCACUUUUACAUAUCACUGAGACCAGCGCCCAGCUGAUGUGAAAUAUUGGCCUGAACCCUGCCUACAAAAGCAUUGUGGCUUUUAUCUAGCUCCAUUACAUAAGUGAUGUGACUUCCUUCUACUGCCUUGGCCCUGCACUUAUGGUGAAUCGUGACACAAAAUUGGGUAGAGCAACCAGCCUGGGCCCUGACCAGCACAGAGAUUGAGGCAUAUUGCUGAACCCAGGACCAAGAUGAAGUCACUCUCCUGCCUUGAUCCUGCACACAGGGACCCUUGUGACAUAUAUACAGGCCAAUUGCCUAGGUAAAGUUUGUCUCCUCUCCUGCCUAAGCCCUGCCCAUGGGGAGGAUUUAGAUAUAUCACUGAAACCAGCAUCCAGGUGAUAUGACUCUUUUUCCAGAGUCUUGUGACAUUUCACUGGACCAGCACCCACUCAGGUGAUGUGACUUUCCUUUCUUCUCCCCACCCACAGGUGAUGUUGUGCAAUAUACCUGAGAC
rnacentral:lncRNA from 1 species